AAUUGCAGCUACAUCUGCCAGCCUACACCACAGCCACAGCCUCACCAGAUCUGAGCUUGUGGCAAUGCUGGAUCCUUAACCUACUGAGUGAGGCCAGGGGGUUAAGGAUCCAGCGCAUCCUCAUGGACACUAUGUCGGGUUCUGAUCCUGUUGAGCCACAAUGGGAACUCCUGAGACUACUUUCUUGUUGCUAAAAUGCUGGGAUAGCUAUUUCUGCCCUUGCUCUGUGGAGGGUAGCAAAUCCCAGGGAAGCGGUGGCAUGGAUGAGGCCAAAGGGUAAAAGGUGGUAGGAAGCUUGAGAAUUGGAAAUUGGGACAGUGUUUUGCUAAAAAGAUAGUAUCAGGAAAAUAAAAUAUCUGCAAUACAAUUAUUCUCCUUUCUUCAGCUCCUUAGCAUUUACUAGAGAAAGGAAGACAGCAGCUCUUGAUCAUUUGAAAAUUGAGGUGGAGAAUGAGAAACGUGCUGAAAGUUUAAAAUCAUGGCUCUUGGCACAAACAGUUCAAAAAUACUGGUGUGCAGUGUACACAGAACUUGAGGUUGCUUUCAAAAUCUCAUCAGCUUCGUUAGAAACCAGGGGUAGUGGUAGGGUCUUUCCAUUACAGUUAAUAGGUGGAUGCUCACAGCAAGGUGGGUUUUUAAGUAGUGGUCUUCCACUUCCCAUAUCCCAGCGAUCCUGCUGAUUCUCAUCUUCAAAUCCAGACUUAGCUGUUAAUCUCUUACCCCCAAAAUAGGCUUCCUUCUCUUAAUCAUUUUUUUUUUCCUUCUCUUAAUCUUAAUCUCUAAUUCUCAAUGGUCUCUUGGCAACUGGUCUUCUCCAAUGGAUUCUGAGUUGUCCUCUGCCUUGAUUCCUCUGUCCCAACUACUUUCUAGCUUAUCUUAAACAUGAGGCUACCCUGGCCCAUCGUUCAGCUACCAGCUCUCAGGGAUCUCCCUAAGAAUCCCCAGAAAGAUGUACUCAGACUUGGCUUUUCAUCCAUACUUGGCCGUUGAGAUAGUCACUGAAGUCACAGUAACAACUGACCAUCAACUACUUCACACAUUCCUUUCUCAACUAAGUUUACUCAGGCUACCACCAACUAUAGAGUCUGUUCUUGUUUUUGUCACACUCCCCUGGAUACACAGGGGUCUCUUUUGCCAACAAUAACAAAUAUCAUCAUUGUGUCCUGAACCAAUAUAGUCUUCUCUUUAUCCCUGCCAGGCAAACUCAGGAAGAGAAAGAGGAAGAAAAAAAACUUUCAAAGAAUUCAUUAGUAGGAGUUUCUUUUCGUUUUUGCUCUAAGUUUGAAGUUUGCUGCUAUCUCACUUGGAUUAGAAUAAAAUUAUUUACAUUAGCUUUAUUACGUCCUCCAAAUUAGGCAAUGGUAAAUGUCACUUAUGACACCAAAAAAUUAAUUUUGUGUUCUUCUGAAGCUAUCUGGUCUGUCAACCAUUGUGCAGGUUGCCAUGGGCAUUGGCUCUGAGUGGGGGAGGGGAAGCCAUGCUGCCUCCCUCAUUUGGGCCUUGGCAGGUUGCAUGGUGGUGUGCACAAGGAGACGGAACCACAUCUGCAUGGCUCACUGCUUAUCAGGAGUGCACACUGGCUGCCAUGCUGUAGGGCGGCAAAGGAAAACAAAACAACAAUAAAGGGAGGCCUUUGUCAUGGAUUAAAAGGGUUUAGAAACAUCUGAGCCAUGCAGUUUUUGAACACCGACACUGCCAAUGACUUCAUGACAGAAUGUUAUAAAAUGUGCUCGCUGGGUUAGAUAGAGUUGGUGGGGCCGCCAACACUCGUGCUUUGUUCAUGGCUUCUUAUCUAUGUGAGUGUGUGGAUGCACAGUUCUCGAAUAAAGUGACCUUUUGCAGAGUGAGAGGAAUAAGGUUAAUGACAAUUGCAGUACUGCUGCUUUUGACUGUAGCUAAGGGUGUCCCUAAAGACUGUCAUUACUAGACAGACUCUUCUCUUGUCAAGUUGGUUAGUUUCAUGUAUAUUUUCAACUUAUUUCACUGGAAAAUUCAUCACCGGCACUAAUAAAAGGGCCCGAUAUUUACGCAGGAGUAGAGAAGUUGGUUACCUAACUGAGUGUGUUUCAGGCCUCAACAAUGGUACUUCCCCAUAUCUUCAAUUCUAUAACUAGGGAUUCACUGCUUUUGUUAAUUGGUGUCCCGCCCCCAAAAUUCUUUCUUUAAAAAUGUAAUUAGGUGGUCCUCUUCUUUAAUUUCAGUCCUCGAUUUGCCUCAAAGUGUCUUUGGCCGGAUUUAUUUCAAAAUAGUUAGAGACGUCAAUGUCCAUCUCCCAACAGUCGAUAAAAUAAUUAGACCAAAAGUCAGGAAAGAAAUUAAAAACUUGAACAACAGUAAUAACCAACUUGAUCUAAUGGACAUUUACAGAAAAUUCUCAACAAAAGUAGAAUAAGCAAUCUUUUCAAGCACACAUGAGACAUUUACUGUAAUGGACCGUAUUCUGGGCCCUAAGAUUCAUCUCCAUAAAUACAAAAAAAUUCAAGUCGUACAAUGUGUAUUUUCUAAUUGCAGUGGAAUUAAACAAGAAAUCAUUAACAGAAAGAUCUCUAAAAAAUCCCUAAAUAUUUGGAGAUUAAGUAACAUAUCUGUAAUAAUCCAGUGGGUCAAAGGAGAAAUUGAAAGGGAAAAUAAUAAUCAUUUUGAACUAAAUAAAAGAAAUAUACAACAUACCAAAAUUUGUGACAUGUCACUAAGGCAGUAAUUAAGGGGAAAUUUAUAGCACUGAAUGUCCAUGUUAGAAAAUGAAAAAGGCCUCAAAUGAAUGACCUCAGUUUCUACUUCUAAAAACUAAAAAGAGAAGAGCACAUGAAACUCAGGGUAGAAGAAAGGAAAUAAUAAAGAUCAAAGCAGAAAUAAAGACACCAAAAACAGAAAAAUACAGGAAAAAAUUAAUUAACCCUAAAACUAGUUCUUUAAAUGGAUAAAAAAAUUUGAGAAAGUCUAGCCAGAUUUACUGCGGGAAAAAAGGAGUUGAUAUCUGCACAGAAUCUAUAAAUAUUAAAAUAAUAAUAAAGGAAUAUGACAAACUAUUUAUGUCAAUAAAUUUGACAACUUAGGUAAAAUGAACAGAUUCCUUAAAAGACAAAACUAACAAAGUUCAUUCAAGAAAAAAAAUAAUUUGACUAGUUCUCUAUCUAUUAAGUAAAUAGAACUUGUAGUUAAAAGCUAACUUUCAAAUUAAAUUCCAGUCCCUAUGACUUCACUGAUGAAUUUACCAGACACUUAAGGAAGAAACAUCGCCAAUUUCACAAAAGUAUUACAGAAAGUUGAGAAAAAGGGAUUACUUUUCAAUCCAUUCUAUGAGGCCAGAUGUUGCCUAGUAUCAACAUCAGAUAGACACAUAUACAAAAACACGUCAAUAUGAUUCCAAACACAGAUAUGGUUACUAUGAGACACAUGUGUGUACAAUAAAUGAAUAAAGAAGGUGUGGUAUAUACAUUGCAAUGGAAUAUUACUCAGCUGUAAAAGGAAUGAAAUAUUGCCAUUUAUAACACUAUGGAUGGGCCAAGAGGGUAUUACGUUAAGUAAAAUAAAAUAAUUCCUGAGUUCUCAUCUCACAAGGAAAAAUAUUUUUUAUUCUAUUUUGUUUCUGUAUGAGAUGACAGCUGUUCACUAAACUUACUGUGGUAAUCACUGAAUGAUGUAUGUAAAUUGCAUCAUCAUCGUACAGUAUGAUGCUGUGUGUCCAUUAUACCUCAAUAAAACUGGAAAAAAAUUAAUUUAAAAAAUAUUACAUAAUGGCUGACAUGAAGAACCAACACAAAUGAUCCAACAUAAGGAUAAUCAGCUACCUUGUAGCAGAAAAAUAAAACAAAUGAAAAGGAAGUAUAAUAAUGCUCCAAAUGUCCUGAAACCAUUUCUCUUUAUUAGGACCAUUUGUUGUGUUACGUAUAAAAGAGAUAUCUGGAAUGAAGGGCACAAAAUAUUAGACAUUUCCAGGUGUUUGCAUUUGAGGUCUUUUGUGAUUUCUUUUUAGUUUGUUUUCUUUUUGCUUUUUACGGCCGCACCUGAGGGAUAUGGUUCCAGGCUAGGGGUCGAAUCAGAGCUACAGCUGCAGGCCUACACCACAGCAACUUGGGAUCCGAGCCAUCUAUGUAACCUACACCACAGCUCAUGGCAACGCUAGAUCCCCGACCCACUGACUGAGGCCAGGGAUCAAGCCCACAUCCUCACGCAUACUAGUUGGAUUUGUUUCUGCUGCACCACAAAGGGAACUCCCUGAUGUCUUUAUUAUACUUUUCAGUAUUGCUUGGCUUUUAAAAACGAAGGCUGCAUAGUCAUUUAAAAUUAUGGUAAUUUUUAAAAAAAAAUUUAAAAGAAAUUAAAGUUAGUGGAAAUCAAAAUAAUUAUAAACAAUGACGAUGCAUUUAAUUUACAUAUGGUAUAUGUGAAUUCAAAUUAAUAAAAAUUGUUUAUCUUUUUAUUUCUAGGAAAUUCAUAAUGAGCUAAUAUGGAGGAAGUUUAUUUUCAUUUUCUAUGGUGUAAGCUUAUACCAGUUUUACCUAAAGCCUUAUAAUUUUCUUUCUGUUACUAUACAUUGUAUCUGUUGACUGUGAGUCUGGUUGAUUUUAAAUAGGUCCUUGUACUGGCAAAGAAAUUUAGUCCACUCAAUCAUUCCAGUAAAGAAGAGAAAAUUUGGCACAGAUAAUCAAAUAGGACAGUAAUAUAGCCCAAUUGCAAGAUGAACCACUGGAAAAGGGAGUUGGGCCACAGUUCUGACAACAGAUUGCUGAAAUUUGUGCAUGAUCUAGACUGAGAGCACACUGAAAAUUGUGAAGUUAAAAAACAGAAGUUAGAGGAGCAGAUCAAAGACCGAUGAUUCUAUCCCUCAGUGGAAUAGGACCAAAGCCCCAAAUAUUUAUCUGAAUAGUGAAGAUUAAAUACAUGGCAGAAGACCCACAGCCAUAUACAGCUAUCAUGUGGCAACUGCAUGCUGAUCCAGCUUCUCCCCUUAGUGGGGUUCUUCUUUUUGGCACUUAGUAAACAUGUGGGGUCUUACUUAAAUAUCUCAGGCCCACAGAACCUAAACAACCAGGCUAGGACACCUGGCUUAGAAGAUUUCAAAUGUAGAUUGGUAUAGACAUUUCGUAUGACUGUUUCAAAUUUAAUGAGAAAGAACAAAUGAGUAGAAUAGCAAAUCACUCAGUCACUUGGAUUUGCUUCGAGAGUUUGUAUUAAUUAGACAAAGGCAGCACGGAAAGCCUUGGUAGGGAUUGUCACCAUUACACUUUUGGCAUUAGUAAUGUAUCAUGGAAAUGCUAAAACCAGCUAGUUCACUCUUGCCCAUGUAUCUCUAGCUACCCAUGAGUGUUUGUAUAUCUACAACCACUUCUGUAUCUAUAUACCUCUGUAUCUAUAUAUAAAUAUUAAGGUCAAUUGAUUAGAAUAAGAAGAUUUGUCUCAGUGGUUGCUUUGCACCUCAUAGGCAAAAACCACUGAUUAACUGAGUAUUCCACUGUUUGGCCAGCAAUUCAAGAUACAGGAGAGAGUUAGAGAAACUACUAGUUGAGUAGUUUCAAGCUACUUUUUGACCACAAUAAACUAAUAUUCGGUUUUCAUUUCCAACACAGCCAGUCUGACAGGUAAGCAGAAUACAAGGCACGUUGUUAGGCUGUCUGGAAGCUGUCCUCUCAUUUCUGAAUGAUGCCUGAGAUUCCACUGCUGGCGCACUAUCUCUUUUUUAUAAGGCUUGGAUCUCUGUUAAAAUUAGGGUAUCCCUUUAAACAGUA
rnacentral:lncRNA from 1 species